AACGAACGCUGGCGGCAUGCCUAACACAUGCAAGUCGAACGAGACCUUCGGGUCUAGUGGCGCACGGGUGCGUAACGCGUGGGAAUCUGCCCUUGGGUACGGAAUAACAGCGAGAAAUUGCUGCUAAUACCGUAUAAUGACUUCGGUCCAAAGAUUUAUCGCCCAGGGAUGAGCCCGCGUAGGAUUAGCUUGUUGGUGAGGUAAAAGCUCACCAAGGCGACGAUCCUUAGCUGGUCUGAGAGGAUGAUCAGCCACACUGGGACUGAGACACGGCCCAGACUCCUACGGGAGGCAGCAGUGGGGAAUAUUGACAAUGGGCGAAAGCCUGAUCCAGCAAUGCCGCGUGAGUGAUGAA
rnacentral:rRNA from 1 species